rnacentral:rRNA from 1 species
AUGGCCGCGCGGCGUCGCUCCCUCCUCAUGCUCCUGCCCCUCCUCCUCUCCCACUUCCUCUCCCUCGCCGCCGCCUUCCAGUCGGACGAGCUGCUCCUCCACGACGACGACGAGUUCGAGGGCACCCGGGUCUCCUCCACCCCCUCCCCCCGGCCGCCCUCGACGCCGCCGGUAGUGUCCUCCCGCCGCCGAUCCGCGGACGCGACGCAGGCGGCUGGCGCCUCCGAGUCCAACACCGUCCAGUUCACCCUCGAGCACGACCUCGGAGCCGGCCUAGGGUUCGCCCCCGCCGGGUCCUUCUCCGCCCGCCUCAAGUCCUCGGCCCACGGCUCCCAGACUCUCACUAAGCUCCGGUUUACGAGGAAUGAGUUGACUGAGGAUGAAAAGAAUGCAUUUAAGAAAUUACUUGAAGAAGAUAGUUUUUACACAAUAAGGCUACCGUCUAAUGUGUUGGAUCCUACAAGAAACGAUUAUAUUUAUUCCUCGAUCAAAGCGAGAUGCAUUCCACGUGACAGCUUGGAUGAACAUAUUGUCAUCCACAUGGACGGUGUAAAUAUUUUGGCUGUUAAUUAUGGUUCCGUCGGUGGAUGCCAAUAUCCCCGGCCAAUGAAAGUACCGUCAAAAUGGACAUUCAAUUCAUACACUAUUCUGAAGACUGCUGACCAAGCACCAAGAACUCCAUCAUUUGUAGAGCAAUUAAUAGAAACUGAGAGUGGACUCGGUGAAGUGAUGAAACCACCUGAGAAAUCUUUCUGGGCUAAAUAUUGGAUGUACAUCAUUCCUCUUGGUCUCAUUGUCAUGAACGCUGUCACAGCAGCAGCAAACAUACCGGAGGAGCAAGCUGGAGGGCAGGGUCAAGCUCCAGCACAAAGGGCGCCAAUUGCUGCUCCAAGGAGAAGAUGA